rnacentral:lncRNA from 1 species
AUGGCUAACAGUAUUGCACCUUCAUAUGGACCCGUGAGAAUCUUAAUUUCCAGUUUCCAGGUUAUGGAGAGCACCUGUAGAUUCACUUACUCCUACAAUCGUAGACAUGCUCAGUGAAUAAGCUAAAGUAAAUCAAAGCAGGUCCUGAGCCUUUGUUCUCUGUUAAUUAUAUGCAGCAUCUCAGCAAGGAAAAUUUCUAUUCUAAGUCAACUUUAGGCUGUUGUUGAUGCAGCUUCUGCUGGCAUCCUCAUUAUCACCACAAAGUGUUCUUCAAGACUUGGUUUCAAUUCACUAAAUGUUGUUAGAAAACUAGUUCCGUUGAUGUAAUGACUUUGUUGGAUAUAUGG